CUUUCCUGCCCUGUCAGGGUUUGGACCUACUGCCAGACCUCUUUGCUGUUAGCAAUGAUAUUUUCUCAAUAUUUGGACAGCUCUUUUAGGAAAAAAAUCUGUUGUUUACAUUUUCAAGAUGUCGUAUUUUAUUUCAGGAUGCAAUUUUUCAGAAGAAGCGGUGGUGUGUAGUCAACUGGAGUGAAUCUGUACAUUCUCCAGGCCCGGUCUUGUGAGACUUUGUCCCACUGUUGUUCCCACUCAGAGCUGAGCAGAAACCACGCACGUCUGAAUAACGGGGGCCCUUUCUGCCUGUUGUAAUCCUGGAUUGUUACAGUCUAGGGGCCAGCCAUGCUGUCACCGUCACAAAUUGAUUUAACCAUCAAUUGCAGUGGUCAUUAAAGCUGCUAGAAGUCCCAGCCAAGCUGAUGAAUUGCAGCUGAAUGUGAAAUGAGCCUCCAAGACUGUUUCCCACCAUCUCAUAUCAAAGCCUAUUGUGUCUCUCCAAAGUAAAGGGUCGGAGGUUCAGCCUGGAGUUCAACAAUGGGCUCAGUCAGAAGAUAGAGCCCCCUUCACCCCAGCAUUCCCAAUUACAGUUUUCUUUCCAUGCCUUAUUGUGCAGUAUUUGCAUCCAACUAAUACGUUGAAUUAUUGACAUACCCCAGUGUCAAUGGAGCUUUUGAAAGAUUUAUCCCCCAAAUAUAUGGAAUCCCAAGCAUCUGGUGGCUCCCCAGUAUUGACAAUGAAAUGAUUCCCUGGUUUUCCUCCUCUGGCAGCCUAUUCGACUUAUCUGAUCUGAAUGGCUAUCUUUACUCAGCAGAGAUUAGCUGCUUCCAGGCCUCACACACAAAAAGCCCCAAGUCUGCUUCUGGAAGUCUUUUUCCUUCAGAUGUAUUGUUCCCUGCACUUGAUUUGCUACUCAUUUUUAUAUAGCACUUAAAUCUGCUAGACUUGCGCUUAGUGCCUGUUAGUAACAGGAGAAAAAGAAUGAAAAAUUAUCCAAUGUACUCCAAUUCCCCUCUCUUUUUUUUCCUUUUGUCUUUUUUUUUUUUUUUUGUCCUGACAUAUCUGCAUGAUUGAUACAGUCUUCUUGCAUUUUUGGCUUGCUACUAAGCUACACAUGGUACAGGCUACCAGAUGAAAUCGUAUCCCUUGUGCUCGGGGGGAGCAUUUGCACGCUGGGCACACACAAGCUGUUUUCCUGCGCAGACUGUCUUGUCAGAGAGUCCCAUCCCUGUGGGUGAGGUACUCUGGGGUGCAGAAUCUGAAGUAAGACACUGCAACUGUGAUUGCAUAUAUGCAAAGUCUGGGAAGGUUCCUGCUGCACACGUGGGCAGAAAAAGAAGUUAGAAAAGAAGGGUGGAGCAUUCAGUAAAGAGGUCACAGGUCCAGACAAUCCCAAUGUAUUAAUAAUGAGCCAGCAGACAGCUUUAGGUCUGUAUUUGCCCAGGCUGUGUUUACUACAGACUGAGUGUCUCCACUAAAUCUGUGUGGAAAUGCUGUUAGCAGAGGACUAACUGCUACCACUGGCCUGUGUUUCUCUGUGUCUCCCGUGAAGGUCAUAGGGUGCCUGUUCUUGAAAGCUUUGCUAUCUCAACGACAGAAUGAACAGAUGAAUAAAUAUAAUACAUAUACAUAUAAAAGGCUCUUUAAAUCUGGUUGUGUCACAGAAGAGCAGUGCUUUUGUUGACCUCUUUCAUCUUUCUGAACUCUGGACUAUUUCACUCCAUGUAGCAGUGAACUUUCCUUAAUGGAAAAUAAUAUCAUUGCUGCUUUAAUUCUUUUUUGGCCUUACGUGUUCCAAGUGAAGCAUCUGAAAAGUCCAUCAGUCCAUGCUAAUAUCAGAUUGUCUCCACAAAAAGCUAGACUGAAUGAAUAGGAGUUUGAAAAAAUAGAAUGGAAAUCUGUCCAAUUAAUGGCCUGGGUAGUGAUUUCAUGUCUUGUGACAAGUGAGAUUACAAAAAACUCAAAAAACUCAAAUAAACAAAACAAAAGAACAAACAACAACAACAAAAACAAUUCUCCACUGUGACAAGCUUUUCACAAGAAUUUUCACAGGGUUGGGUUUUCUGUUUUGUUUUGUUUUGUGUGUUUUAGGUUUUGUUUGUUUGUUUGUUUGUUUGUUUGUUUUUGAAAAAGCCAAUGACAAAUCGACAAUAAUAUGGCCAACAGAAGACUCACCUGAGUUGGAGACUCCCAGGUUCAAAUUUCCCCUGUAAUUUUUCAUGGCACAGAUCAUCCACCAGAUGAUGUGAAACCACUGUAUGUUGAUGAUUUUAUUUCUUUCAGUCUCUUUUCUGAGUCAACAAAUAUUAAUUGGGUCAGAGGCACAAACCUGAAGCUCUCACAAACUCACUUUCUACUGUAAGCACUAGGCAAGGAAGCCAGGUACAAGACUGGGGAAGCAUCACCCUGCCUGUGCAAGCUGAGUGCCAAUAAUCAGGGAGAGGACAAUGGAAGGUGAAAUUAAAAACUAGCAGCUCCUUGUCAUGCCACUCUCUGUACAUACAGGAAGUAUUCAACUAUCACAGUGCAAAGCCUGAAUAAUAAGAGGAGUAGAGCACAGAUUGUAGUCAAUCCACCUAUUUUAUGCAAACUUCAGUAAUAUGGGAAGGUACAAAUGAGUCUGCUUAUAAAUUCAGAUAUGUUGAAACAAACUUUUCCUCUGAGACUGUUCUUGUUUCUCAGCUGAGCUACUGGACAUAUCCUUCUAUGUGGUUUCUAAUAGAGAUGAAAUCAGUAAUAUUGGAGCUACCAUCAUGUAAUUUUCUCAGUUCAUUUGAACCCUGGAAUGUGAUGGUGGGGGAUCACAUAAACAAUCUUAGCACACUAUUACUGUCUAGCUCCAAGGAAGCAAGUCUGCAUCAAGAUUUUACUUUAAUGGGAAUAAAGUUCCCUUCAGCUCUUCUAUUGAAAUUGUCCUUGCACAAUCUUCUGUGCAAAUCAAACCUAAGAACAAUGUCAUAACUUCCCAAGACUCAAAGCCUGUUUGCUUUCUCAAAGCCUAGAAACCUGUCCAUUGCAUGGUUACUUGCUGAAUUGAGCUCUACGAGGAAGGACCUUGGUGUCUUGGUGGGCAACCAGUUGGCCACAAGCCAGCAAGUAUGACCUUGUCGUCAAGAAGGCCAGUGAUAUCCUGGGGUUCAUUAAAAAGAGAGUAGUCAGCAGGUCAAGAGAGGUGAUCCUCCCCCUCUUGUCUGCCCUGGUGAGGCCACAUCUGGGGUACUGUGUCCAGAUCUGGGCUCCCCAGUUCAAAAAAGACUGGAAACUUCUAGAGAGAGUUCAGCAAAGUGCCGUAAAGAAGAUUUGGGUUCUGGAGCAUCUCCCUUAUAAGGCAGGGCUGAGAGACCUUGGGCUGUUCAUCAUGGAGAAAACUUCAGUGAAGAAUAAAGAUGUUUAUGUUACACAGAGUUAUCUUCCAUUGACAUAAAUCAAUCUUGACCUGGCAAAGUUUGUAUUCAUAGACAUAUCUAAGUAUCUUGCCAGUAUUGGGUUCCCUGGUAGAAUAAGAUACAUUUUACCCUACAGAAUGGGAUCCUCCACAUCCAUUGAUGACACAUUUUAUUUGCAAUAUUCAGCUAUUGCAAUGAACAGAUUAAGCUGCCAUAGAAGGUGAUUUCUUCUUUGAGCACUGGAGUGGAAGGAAUUCUCUCUCCCACAGCUUUAAGUCCUCGGGACCCUAAGCCUCUUCAUCACAGUAAAGUCCAGGACUUCCCAGUGCCUCUGAUGGUACUGCUUCUCAGCACUGAGCCACAGAGAGUGCAGGCAGCCAUCUAGGCACAUCCUGCUUAGCUAACAUGCACACACAGGCAUGUGUUCUCAUGAUGACAGCCCCCAUUUAGGCCCUUCAUUCUCCUGGCUAGGCACUUUCACAAGACAUUAAAAAACCUGAAGACUUCACAUUCAUAUGUGAAGUGUAUUAAAAGGUUCAAGAGUGAUUAGAAGGUAGGCAGCACACAUUUAGUGUAAUCAACUAUGUAUCUUCUGGUCUAAUGAUAAGCAAGGUAAAAACUCAGGAGACUUUAGCGGAAGAGUUGUUGGGAUGCAAGAGGCUAGCUUUAGAAGUACUGAAAUGUAGAGAUACUGAAUUUGUAUUUUGAUAAUGCUUGAUUUUAGCCGUGGGACACUGAAAACAAGAUACUUUCUCCUCAAGGCAGACAAUUAUUUUGGAAAUGAAACUCAGAUUAGUAGCUAUUUAUGCUAUUAACUUGCAUAUGAUUAACUUACUAACUUCUGUAGUAUCCCUUUUCUGACCUAGAUUCACUUCAUACUGUAGAAUGCAGAUUAAAUUGUACAAAAUAAUAUAUUGGUCAUCUGUGUUUCUGUGAUCAACAGAUGCAAGUAAGAUAUUAAUAACAGUAAUAAUGUCGUAUUAAAGAAUAA
ensembl:lncRNA